ACAUGUUCCGCCAGAUCAUCAGUCAGGCCAAGAAACAUAUGAGUUUGAUCUACCUCUGUAUUUAUUGGAGCUGGAUGUACUGGAGCAGCACUGUAUCUCGAGUCCAGCAUUGUUCGAUGGAGAUGUUAGUUGGGACAGAAAGAAUAACCCAGAGCUGUGGAAGAAACUGGGUCCCAGUGAUUGAUACAGGUUCUAAUCAGUGAAUGUGGAUUACAGCAAAUGAAGAAAGAUGGUCUA
rnacentral:lncRNA from 1 species